ensembl:lncRNA
AUGGAGGACACUUGGCAGCUGCAAGACACAGAUGCUGAGCUCUGUAAUAAACUUCUCUCGUAGAAGAAUCUGAGUGCUUUUGCUGGCUGCUUAAAAGUCCUUAUUGCUGUCUGACUCACUUGCUCAACAAGCAGUUACAGUGUUGAUGGCUGCUGGUAAUCACUCUUGGGGUUAUAAGGACCGGUAUAAUUGACCUGCUUUGUCCUCUAGGAUGCUGCCAUAGCCUAGCUUUAAUAAUUAGUGAAUUGUGUGCUUCCAUAGGAGAUAUUUAAGGAUAAGGUAUUGUGCAGUGUCUUAGUGAACUACUGUUUUUACAUCUAGAGAUAGGCAAUGGGCCUGGUUUUGAUCACGAGUCACAACAGCACAAACCAGAAAUAACCUCACUCUUGUUAAAGGGGUAUAAGCCGUUACAAAACAAAUGUAGGUGAGGUCAGUGCAAAGGAGAGCUUCACGUUCAGCCUUCAUUGCCUGCAUUUAAAGACAAACAGCUGUCCUGAGUUUCAGCUGGAGGAGGAAGACACCAUCAAACAUGAAUGUUGUGAGUCCUAGCUCUCCAGUCCUGCCAGACAAUAAGAUGCCUCUCCUUGUCAGCGGGGACCUGGCCCUGAAGAAAUAUUAUGUAUUCUUCAGCAUCAGUGCAGCCUGUGGGUCUCCUGUUUGAGUUGAGCAUCUAGUUUGCAUUGCCUGAAUAAAAAGUGGUGAGUCAUCCAUGCGAUGGGAAAAUCAAUUUAACUCUCUGUGGAUUGAAGUUGUUAACAACCUUUGCAGACACAUCUUUAUUUCUUGUGAUCAUACAGAGAGGUAACAAGAGGAAAAGAAAGAGUUAGCCAUUUUUCACACAGGAGAAGAGAUGCAAGACAGAAACCAAAGACGAGGCAGCACAAGCAAAGGAAGACUGCAAAGAGAGUAACAAAGGGGCUGUUGUGUGUUCAGGGAGACAGGGCUGAGGAAGGUGGUGGUGGAUGAGAGGCAAUGAUGAAGGGAAGCUAUUUGAUCCCCUUUAGCUCCUGGGUCAGUAGCAGCUGCACCUGCCUUACCCGUAGGCUCUCUGUGUGCUAGCCAAGGCAGUGGCUGUCAGUGUCUGCUGCUGUGCAAAUGUAGGCUGCCUUUCUGUUUUUCACCAUGGGAAUCAAACAUCUGGGCUCCAGAGGUACCUUAUUAGCACUAAACAACCUUGAUUCAAUUAUACCACAAGAUGCACACAAGAUGGUAUCUUUUGCACGGCCCAGCACAUCGAAGGUCUUAUAGCAUAUAGUACCAGGGAGUGGGGGUGGAGAGUGCAGAACCUCAGUUACUAUCUCAUUUCCAAAGUUAGUCCAUAAUAACACAUAAAGGGGUGGAGGCUGGAGAGUUUGUACAACCCAAAUACAUAGCUAACUUGAAUGAUUCUGUUUUUAUGGUUUUCAGUCCCAUUUGCUCCACAAGCACUACAUCUGCAUAGGCAAAAAGAAACUGGGACGUGAUUUUCAGGCCUGGAGUUUGAAAGUCAUCUGGCUAUGUAGCCAGAGCUAUUGGGCGUGCAUCCACAACUUCUGCUGGUUUAAAGCUCACUUUUCCUCCCUGACAUUAGAAAACGAACCAGAAAUAACACCAGCAGUGAGGCUUUUGCAAGGAACAGGGGUGCGAAGAGCACUGCCUGGGCCAAAUUCCACACCAGAUAAUUCCAUUGAGGCAAUGGCUUCAAUCGGGCACCGUUAUCUUCACUUCCUGUCUCGUACUGCCAUGCCGUGCUACUGAGCAGUUGCUGAUUUCCUCUUCCUCAGGCCUGGCUGCAUGACAUGGCGGGGCUGCAGCAUCUCUUCUCUGCUCUGUUCUUCACUUACAGAAGUUAUGUGGAAAGGAAGCAAAUGACGGAAAAUGUUUUGAUUUCCUCUAAUGAAGCUUACCUCUUCUAGCAUGAAGAUUUUUUGCUAUUACGAAGCAAAGUUGUAUUUUAGAAAACUUUUCAGUUGUUUCUGCAGACCUGUCAUCUAUUUCCAUGGAUACGUGAGUGGCAAUAAAGCAGCCAGGAGAUGUUGAUUCCAGCCAUUCUCUGGCUGCCCAGUGAGCAGUGAAGAGCUGCUGAAGUCGUUAGUACUUUACACUUGAAACUAACACAAUAGUUUGCACUUUGCUGAUUCUCUUCGGCCUGCACUCCCCAGGUCUGAUAAAUGAGCUCCUACUCUAAAGCAAUUAUUUAAGCCUCAUAACAACUGGGUGAAUGGGUUAGGAGGACAGAAAGGCUGGAAAUGCUGGAGUAACCUGUCAAAGGCCAACGUAUAACCUAGUGGCAUGGGCAGGAAGGCAUUCAGUUCACCCAUUCUGGCUUGUGGCCCCUGAGCUCCUCCCUGAAUGUAUUAGGUUUGGAGUACCUGCAGAUCAGGGUACAGAUACAUACCUAUUCUCUUCUGUUUAGUGACAAAGCUCCUCCCUUUUUUUUUCCCCCAGAAAACCCAGUGUAUCUUUGAUUUGUUCAGUUCCCGUUACAGCAAGUGCCGUCAGAAAAUAGAAGGGCUGUAUUCCUGCAGGAUAUGGCAUAUGCUAACUGUUCAUUGAAUGGCUUUCCCUGUCCAUCAUGUUGAAUUCCUCAGUCAAGUUCUUGCUACUUCUUCUCUAACGAUAAGGCUUCUGCCACUGUGACAAGGAGAUUAUUCCACAAAGAUGAGAGAUCAUGUGUCAUUAUUAUCUCUGAACACUGAGUUAUUUUUCUGGGCAUUUCCAGAAGACAAGUUUCUUGGUUGUGGUUGUGGAAACAAAGCUAGAGAGAAGGAAAAAGAGGAAGGACUUUUUGAUGUAAUGUCAUUACAGUAUGCUCUGUUUUCCAUAUUUUAUUUUUUUGUAUUAUCACCAUAUUUUUUCUGCUUUUAACUUCUGUUAUAAGAUGCUGUGAGAUAACACAUACUAAGCAAUGAUUCUUUCAUUCUUGCACCCUCACAAAAUCCUCUGAAACAAACAGAUCUUUGUAUGUUAAAGAACUGCUCAGAAUGAUUAAGGUAUGUGGAACUGGGACCCUCAUGAUUUACGUUCUCUGAAUCCUCAUUUUCUGUUCCUAGAAGACCUCACAGGUGGGUGUACAUGGAAAGACUUAGAGAGUUUAGGUAAUAUGUAGUGCUCAAGUAAUCCUUAACCCAGCUACCUUGCCUUCAUGCUUCUAAAUUUACAAGCAUUAUAUCUGGAGUUAUUCACAGACUUUACCAAUUAUCGUUCAGCAAAAAUCAGUCCCUGCAAAUGUUGGAUACCUAACAUGUGCACACAACCCACCUGGGUUUAAUGGGUUUAUUUGUGUGAGUAAAACCUAUGAAGUCAGGCCCAGCAAAGUAUGAUGGCAUCACCUCUGUAUUGUCUCCUUUGAGUCACUCACACCCUCAGUCAAUAAAAUUGGUCCCAAAACGAACAUCAGUAGUACCCUACCAUUAACUUAUUUCCAUUCACAGAAGAAGCUCCUUAUUACAAGUCUUUGUUUUCUGCCACUUAAACCACUUCUAAUCCUUAAAAAAAAGACUUUAUCUUGUAAUUAUUUAUUUCUCUUAAUAGUCUUUUAUGAAGCAAUUUAUCAAAAACAUUUUGAAAAUUCAAGUAAAUAGUUAUCUUGCAGGUCACCUUUACCUACUGGUUUGUUAGGUCUUUCAAAAACAAAAUACGCUUUUCAACAUUACAAAAUAGCUAAGGGAAGGCACAAAAGAAAUUCCGAUGUAUUUUGACAGCUACUGUAGUGGCUUUGCAGAGCUGUGCUUGGAUUAGCACUGUUCUUCUGUCUGUACUUAAGUACUCUAAUUCAUUUCCUGGCAUUUCUCUCUCUUCAGGUCAACCACUAGUUCAAGGUGGAAGUGAUAAGUUUGCAGCGUCUCAAGUGUGCUGGUGUUAGCUCUUGGGAAGUUGAGAGGAAGGAAAUAACAGUCCAUAAAGUUUUGAUUGCUUGGAAAAUAAGAGAUGUUUGUUGAAAGAAUGAGCAAGGCCAGCUGCAAAGAGUUCAGGAGCAAGCAGAAGUAGUUCUGCAUUAGCUGCUCACUCACUUCAGCUAUUAACUGACAGCAUUUUGUUUUGGAGACUGAGAAGAGGAAGGCUAUUUUUCUCAGACCAGUAAGGGGACUAUCUUAUAUUGCCCACUUUUUAGCCAGUGGAGGGUUCACUUUAAAGAUGGAUAGAACAGCAUGAUCCAGAAUGGUGUGGCAGGGAAGGAUUUGGCAAAAAUAGUGGCACUGAAGAAGUAAAAUAAAUGUGCCAUGCUCUAUUCCUCCCCCAGUUUUAAAAUAUCAGCAUUUUGCAAGCAAUGGGCCAUAUGCUCCCAGGGCUUGCAAGCCAAAAAGUAUAGCAACUUACUACAAAACCGCUCUCCAAAUUCUACACACAAGCCAAAACCUCCUACUUGGUAUGCUGCCGUCAUGCCAACUUGCAGAACAGAGAUUGGGCCUGAGCAAGGAGGUCUGCAAAGGAACAGAGGAUUACACACAUGCACACAAGAAUGGGGAUACAGGCUGUGGCUGACUGGGGACAGAGUCAGGACACUGGUCCUGUGAAUGCAGCUUAGGGAGAGCAAGCAAGAUAAACUGGCACUGGCAGAGAGCAUGUUCCCAGGACAGAAUAUUUGCUCCCACAGAGGGAAGGCAACACAGUCUCCUUAGGUUGCUCUUUCAGGGUGUUCUAUGCAGUUUUCUAGGAGUGUGGCAUCACACAAUCCAGCACGGACUGCAUGUCUGGCUGGAUGUUAGGAACAAUUUCUUCUCAGAAAGAGUGAUGAGCUAUUAGAACAGGCUAUGUAGGGAGGCGGUGGAGUCACUGCCCCUGGAGGUGAUCAAGAAAUGCAGAUAUGUGGCACUGAGGGACAUGGGUUAUUGGGCAUGAGAAUGAUGGGUUGAUAGUUGGACUAGGUGAACUUAGCAGUCUUUUUCAAAAAUUCUAUGAUGUUCUGUGGUUCUUUGGUGUAAACAUGGUGGUCCCAGCAGAUGGCUACAGCAGUUCUGGUCUUGUCCUCUUGAUGGAAUCUGUCCUGCACACUCAUAGUAUCCAACUGACAAUGAGACCUGGUUCCUGGAAAACAGUAGGGCUGCCCAGAGGCAAAUAGAAUUGUCUGUUUGAGGUUGAGAAGUAGAGGUCUUUGUUGAAGGAUUUUCUGUGUGACAGUGCAAAACAAGAGCAUCCAGAGGGUACAUUUUAUUUCUCCAGGGACGAUCCCUGCCAUGCUUUAGCCAUUGGUUAGAGCAGAAUUUUCUUCAUCACUGGCUGGUACACCUCUCUGGCAGAGGUUUAAAGAAAUGCAGAUGCUCAAAUUUUUGACCAUUUUAGUGGACUCAGUGUAAUAAAAAAGAGGUAAAGACUGCCCAUUUGCAGACCUGUACUCACCGAUGCAGGCAGAGAAAACUGGGGUAAUAAAAUCCCAGGAUAAGGAUGUAUGGAUCAUAUGCUCUGCCUCCACCAGGAGCAAGCCAACUGCUGUGGGGAGGAUGGUGCUGCAAAUGGCCUCCAGACCAAACACUUGCUCAAUUUGCAUGCCUGCAUGGCUGCUGGUCGAUCCAGCUGCUCCUGCCCCCGGCAGUCUUACCCAGCCAUGGUGACACAAGCCCAGGCAAAGGGGCAGAGCAGCUCUGUGGGGACUCAAGCCCAGCAAGAGAAUCGUAGAAUCAUAGAAUCAUAGAACUGUUUGAGCUGGAAGGGACCCUUAAAUUCAUCUGGUUCAACUCCCCAGCAAUGAACAGGGAUAAAAUGAAGUCAAGUGAAGUCUGGUAAAAAUGUGUUCUCUGGCCCCGCAGUACAUCUACCAAGCACUGUAGGUAAAGCUGAUAUGUAGCAGGCUGGUACUUCACUGAAAAGUUUCUCAGAAGUACCUACCUUUUGCCAGGUACUUCAGGGUGCAGUUAUCUAGUUUUGAUAGGUGGUACCUUCUAACUCUAGUACCAUCCAUCAGGGCUGAUCGUGGGAUUCCCAAAGGCUGUUGUUGGGAGAAGUGGUAAAUCUCAUUUCCUUUGACAGGAGUUAUGUUUAGGUCUUUGCUGAAUGCUGCAUUACAUCCUGCUUGUGUCAUUUUCAAUAUGGCAGUCACUUCUCCGCACAGGGUAGCAAUGGAUGCCAUGCUGCCGUGGGAGGACAGCAAAUGUCAGUUACUGUGUUUUUAUGGGGUUAAUAUAUAAUUACUCUCUUGUUAUAAGAUCUUAGAGUGAAAGAAAAGAUGUGCUAUUUUAAACAUGCAAUUUUGGCAAUAAUAAUAAUAAUUUUCUCCACAAUGCUUUUUUUUUUUUUUUUUAAUGUUGCUAUGAAAUAAACCUUUAAGAACCAUGAGAAUAUGUAAGGAAUUUUCUCAUCCUAAAGUUUAUGCUUGUCUAUUUUCUGCAGCACGUAAUCAAAAGUCUCGUGCGAGACUACAUGCAACAGGAUUGCUCUUAUAUUUUCUUGGGAGACAGCCAUCAUUACAUUGGGCCAAAGCUAUGAGUCAGGGCUGCUGUUUCCUAUCCCAAAGUGAGGAAUCUCUGUCAGGAAGUCCUGUGUUGUGCUAGAGAUCAGAGCAGGUGAUAAUGGUCUCAUCUGGCUUUGAAAUUUAUGAGAAGGAGAUAGGACAUGUAAUGGAGUCAUUAUUUUGUUUUAGACCAUUCUUCACAUCACAACACUUGGAGAUGUAAAAGUCGUGUGGUAGCCAGAUGGAAGGAGGGGAAGAGCUUCCCCAUUGCUAGUAAGAAGAUCCUGAAUAGAGGCAUAAAAUUUUGGGAAAAUGUGUAACUAAUUUUAUCCAUAUAGAUUACUUUAAAAAGCAGGGCAGGUUAUGAGAAUGUAGGCCCCGGCUUGGGAGGAGAUGGAAAGGGGGGAAGGGUCAGAAUAUACUGGCUAAAUAGAAGAGAAAAACUAAGUGGUUGCAAUCCCCUAAAAUCUGAAUCAACUUUACUUGAAGCAUAAACAGAGAUCUCCAACAUCUCAAAUAAAAAUGGAAAAGCAUUCAGGGAACAUGAACUUUAAAAUAGGAUAAUUAAGGCUGACAUGAAGGAAGUAGAUGCCAUUUCUGUGAAGUUUAGAAUUUUUUUUAAUUGCAAGAGUUAAAAAAAAUAUUCCUCCAAUUUUCCUGCAAUCUUUCACACGCUUCACUCGGAACUCUGGGACUCAGAAUUGCCACCACAUCCAGGUUCAAAUUUUGGCUUAUUUUCUCAGGAUUAGUUUUCUUGUUUUCUUUAUUUCCAUUCACAAAUAUCUGUUAGACAACUCUCAGUUUUUAGUGGUUUCUAAAUGGAGCUGGAAAAGAUACUUUCUCCCACCAACUCCUAGACUUCAAAUCUACCUUAUUUUGAGGCUUUCAGAGGAAAACAUAGUUUUAGAUAAUUCUAAAACUAUACAAACUCUGCAAAAUAAUAUGUUCGUUUCAUUCCUAACCUAAAAUUAAUUUUCAGUUGAUAUUAAAUCAUUGAAACUUUUUCAGCAAAUCAGUACUAAAGCUUUGCUUUAUUUGAUGAGGAAAUGCUGAAUACUGUUGAGUUGCUUAAUCUAGUACAACUUAGGUGGAAAUGGGAUAUGAUGAGUUUUCAUAAAGACAUGGAGGCAAACUUCAAAGAGAAAAAGAAUUAGUUAAAGAAUAAUACUGGCAUGAGAUCAAGUGCAUGCAGUCUGAUUAUUAAUACAUUCAGGCUGGAAAUUUAGAGAAAGGUUUCCAUCCAUUCAUCCAAGAAGUGAUAUUCCGGUAACAGGAGCAGAGAAACUCCCUGGUUUAGGCUGCAGUUGGGUAUGCUGAUGCAAAUGAUUGUAUCGCAGAAUUCUUAGGGACAGAAAAUGGGGCUUGUGAUGUGGAUCAGUUGGUAUCUGAUGUUUAGGUGUCAGCAGCUGAGUUUGAAAAGAGACUUGGUUGUUUAUUUGCACCAUUGUUUUAUUCUCUUAAUCACAUGCUUCAGAACUUUUGUGUGCAGUCUGCAGAGGUCAGUAAGGGUCAUUUUUACUUUUGGUUUAUGCACUGUUAGACUUCUAGGAUGCUCUCUUUUCCACCUCUGAACCACAAAAAAGCAGGAUGUAGGGUAGGACCCCCUAAUCCUUUUGCAUCUGUCACUGAUAAGCUCAAGUUUAAAUCAACCAUCAGAUUCAGGGUAAGGAAGGAAUUCUCCCAUUGAUCAGAUUGUCAGAAACUACUGCAGAACAGGGAAUUGUUUUCAUUUGUCUUAAUUUCUUAGGAUUUGCAGAUUUCACCUAACGCUUCCCUUCUAUUACAAGGGUUUGGGCUAUUGACAAAGUGAUUAAUCUUGUCGUUUUGCUGCUUUAUAAUGAGAUGUUAAGUUUACUGCAUUCUACUGGGGAUGUCCUGAGGCCAUUGGUAUACAGGGACACAACAGGUAGGACGCCUGUGGACUUUCUGGUUUAGUUGUCUAUGGAAGCCUGGACUGAUGGCACAGUUGACUUCUCUGGCCUUAUUUUCUUCAUUGCUUCUUCCCCAGAAAAGUGUUUCCAAAUGUCAAUUAAAUUCAGCCUGGAACAAUUUGUUUUUCAUGAUAUGGCAAACUGGCCAAUCACAAAAGCAUUAGUGAAAAACCAGCCUAGUCACAUAGAAGCCUCCUCCUGCCCUGGGUUCCUCCAUGACCUCAAGUUAGAUGCAUGAGCCUACAGGCAGCAUGCACAUAGCAAUCUCUUCCAGCUGAGAAAGCAGGUUGGAAAACUUGCUGGAGCCAUACCUGGAUCCUGCCUCCCAUUCAACUGGGCAGCCCCAGGGAGUGAGUAUCUGUAGAUCAGAAAUGAAACGCCCAAAAUCAGGUCAAGAUAGAAGGGACGCAGCUGUAUUUCAUUGUAAUGUAGGUCAGGUGUUGCUGCUUGCUUGAGGCUCAGGUGGAAAGUACUGUCAGACCAAAAGCAAUGCUCAAAGGAGGACUCAGACCUCCUGCCCACCCAAGGAAUGGGGUCAGUACUUUAGGAAGAGGCACAUGGGGAUUUUAGAAGUGGGCGGGCAGCAAGGAAGGAAGGAAUAGAGCCAGCUCUCAUCCUUCUGACACAACUCAGUGGUAGAGCACUGCUGCACCAGGUGGUCCUGACACAGGAAAGUCUCACAGUACUCCCAGAGAAGCCUUGCUGAGGUAGUAUUUUAAAGCUACUCUGGUGAAGCUGCUUAGCAAUUAAUCAAGGAGAAAGAUGAAUCAAAGUUGCAAAGGUAUGUGAGAUCCUGGUACUCUGCUUUGUAACUUGCACAUGUUAAAGACGUAAAAUGGCUGUGAUAGCUUCUUCCUUCCUUUCCAAACUAAAUAUAGUAAAAAUACCCAACAAUUCUUGAAUGAAGCAAACAAGUAUACUGCAAUGAUUCCUGUAGUGCGCUGCUUUAAUAUGUGCUGUUUAAUUAUACUUUUAUGACUAGAAACAGGUAACAGUGUUCAUGCUAAAAAUAUUUAGACAUAUGGAUUGCCAUUGCAUUUAGAGUUGUUUUCAUCUACCAGACUCACAAAGUAGUGAAGCUACAUGAUAGUGCCAUAUGUAUAAUAAAAGCACAUUUUUUUAGAAGACUACAUAAAUGCAUGCUACUAAAAUACACAUAUUUUGCUAAGGAAAUUAAAAAUGAAAGAUAGGUUUAAAACAUUGUUAAAGACUAUAAUGGGAAUGGCAAGUGGCAUAAUGGGAAUAAUGCUAUGGGAUUAUCCUUAGGCAAUAGGGAAUAACCAGAAUGAGAUAGUAUUAAGGACAAGAAGCCCAAUCCUGCAGAGCAAUCCUGAGAAGUGCUGAGCCUGCUCAGCUCACAGUAAAGUCAGUGGGAUCUGAGGGCAUUGAACACCUUUGCAGGAUGAGGCCCGAGUCAGAGUUCCAGCCUAAGGCUGUUGUUUUUAGCCUGGAUUUUUAUGAGAUGCCAAUCUGAUUUUUUAUGAGAUGCCAAUUUGGAUGUCUUAGUGGGACCCCAGCAAAAUGAGAACCACUCAGGGCAGCAGUAGAAUUUUUCUGAGUGGGCCCAAUCCACCUAAUGCUUAAACUGAAGGAAAGAUUUCUAUUGUCCUCCACAGGGUUUGUCUCUUGCCCUGUUAUGAACAAGCACCCUGAGUAUCUUGAAAAUUGGCUCAGAGAAGUACGGAAGCAUAGCAUCUCAAAAAUCCUGUGCUCUGACUUUCCAGUUAGGUGGAGCCAGCUUAACUCCUUUGUCAACUAUGAGAUGGCCAAGUUGUGCAGGAGCUUCUGCCCAUUUCUUUCCUCAGCACAACACCACCCUAUUUCAUAUGCCCCAGAUAGCCAAGGUUACAGAGUUAUAAGGACAGUGAGAGUCACAUAUCCUGAUUUCAAGCAGUUUCCUUGGACGGAAAAAUAACUUCUUUUUUUUUUCAUUCCUUGAACGGAAAACACCUGCAAAAGUUAUCUCCCCCUUUCCCAGAGUCCAAGAAUAAUUGUUUUAAUAACCUUAUUAGUGAGGUCUAUGUGAAAGGCCUCAGUCGUGCAGAUUUAACAGGGCUGCCCGCAGCCACAGAAUAAAGAUGUGGGUGAAGGCUUUACCAGACUACAGGCUAUAGCGCUGCUCUCACUGAAAUUAGCUGGAGAAUUACCAAGCAUUGGUGGGCUUGGGGGUGCAGCAUCAACCCCACUGCCAAGCCCAGGGUGUGCUUCCACUGACAGGGCCAAAACAAGUUUGCAGUUUUUGGUUUGCGGAGUUGAAUUCAGAUCUCUAAUGGGCUCCUUCCCUCUCGUCGUACUAUGAAAGUUGCUGACACAGUAGGAAUCAUCACACUGGCCCAGCAGACAGUCUCAGAGAUCCUCCUGUGACUUUGUUUCCCUCCUUGCCAUGAAGGGAGUGUGACCAUUGUCUUGUAGCUCUAUUAGCAGGGUUAUUACUUUCUUAAUUUUAUUAGGUUGGGAGCCUUCUGGGGUCCUGCAAAUUUUUUUGCAACCUGGCUGAAAACCUCACUGUUUUUGCCUGUUUCCAUAUGUAUUUAGGGCUGUGCAACCCAUGGGUGCACCUUGGGAAAGCUGGAGCAGGAGGUGUCCCCGCAGUGGGCAGGCACUGGUGGCCAUGUGGCUUGGUCUGGCUGCCCAACCACCUUGCCCUUGUAGUCCAGUGCAUCCAUGUUGCAUCUCCAAAUCCAG